UUGGAGGGCAAGUCUGGUGCCAGCAGCCGCGGUAAUUCCAGCUCCAAUAGCGUAUAUUAAAGUUGUUGCAGUUAAAAAGCUCGUAGUUGAAUUUCGGGGUUCUACCGUCGGUCGGGCUACCAAGUCUGUACUGGUGUGUAGAACUUCUACCUUCUGGGGAACCAUCAUGUUAUUAAUUUAGCGUGGUGGGAAACCAGGACCUUUACCUUGAAAAAAUUAGAGUGUUCAAAGCAGGCUUAUGUCUGAAUACAUUAGCAUGGAAUAAUAGAAUAGGACGGUGGUCCUGUUUUGUUGGUUUCUGAAUCACCGUAAUGAUUAAUAGGGAUAGUUGGGGGCAUUAGUAUUCAAUUGUCAGAGGUGAAAUUCUUGGAUUUAUUGAAGACUAACUUCUGCGAAAGCAUUUGCCAAGGAUGUUUUCAUUAAUCAAGAACGAAAGUUAGGGGAUCGAAGACGAUCAGAUACCGUCGUAGUCUUAACCAUAAACUACGCCGACUAGGGAUCGGACGAUGUUAAAUUUUAUUGACUCGUUCGGCGCCUUACGGGAAA
rnacentral:rRNA from 1 species